CCCAUUCCGUCCAUUUCCGACGCCCCAAACCAAACCCUCGAUCCCCUUCGCCGGCGGUGGCGCAGAUCCUCGUCCGGCGACCUCGUCCGCGCCUGCGCCACCUUCCGCCGCCGCCACCGCUCCUCCUCGGGUUCUUCGGGGUCCCCUCCGGCUUCAUGCCCGCGGAAGCGCCCCACCCCGACGCGCCGGCCGCCGCGUUUUUCAGGUACCACGAUCCGAGUAUUUCCACUUUACCCCCGACUAUUUACAUAUAGCCCCCUAAUUUGGAUCGCGAUGAAUAAUCGCUAUCCGAAUGGUUCUAUUUUACCCCCUACUAUUUACAAAUACCCCCCUAAAUUGGAUCGCGAUUAAUAGUCGCGAUCCGAUUAUUUUCAUUUAGACCCCUAAGUAUUUUCAGAUAACCCCCUGAUCGUGCUCCGCUCCUCCUCCGCCCGUCCGCCGCCGCCCUCGACGCCGGAAUCACGAAGCCCCGCCUCGGCACCAGUCCCCGUCUCAGUCUGUAGGACCAUCCCCCAGCAAUCCCUCCACCCGCAGCAAGAAUGGAGGGCAGCGCGCGGUUCGAUGCCGCACCCGGCCGCGCGUUGCGAGCCGCCGGGCGGGCAUCGGGGCAUGGCGGCAACCGCGAAUUCCGAUUGGGAUAGGGCACCCCAGCCGUCUCCGUGUACCAGUCUUCACCCAAGCAAGAACCGAGCAGCGCACGCUCGAAGCAAUUGUGUGGUGGGUUCAGAGCAGAGCGUGUACAGUUUCUUUAGGCAAUUCACAGCAGAGAGGAUCUUGGCCGCGGUGUUGCUCGCCAUUUCCUGUUCGGGUCGAGCACGUUGGCCGUUUUGAUGCCUUCUUUGUCCAUUCGGGAGACUACGAGGAGGCACAAUUCAGGGUGAUUGGCUGGAUACACUGCGAAGCAAUGGCUGCGGUAUUUGUCUACCCUUCGCUUUCUGUCACCUGGACUGCUGGUACUUCCGCCAGUUGGGAAGCACUAGGCUUGCACCAAGAAGAACGCAUGACACCGCCGAGUUGGUGGUCCAGUUAUGUGUAUGGGUGCUUGUACUGCAAAGCACUCAAGAGCAACAAGUUUCUUAAGCUUGACGUUAACAGGAUGGAGUUCUCAGCUGUUAGCCUUCUGCCUAACCAUGAAAAUCGACAGGUUCUUGUUGUGGAAGCUGGCGAAGGAAAGAUUGGGAUACCUGGUCGCAUUUUUGGUCAAGAAAUUCCUGAGUCUUGGCGCUACUCCAUUAGAAGGAUAUAUUGUCCUACGAGGCUCAAGAUACAUUUACAAAACAAGUCACUAGCAUUCUCUGUGGAGGAAGUGCGUUUUCCACACUUGAGAUCAAGACAUCGAAGAUUGAGAGGGUCUGUUCAACAUGUGGUGGUGGAUGUGGCCAUAUCCUUCCCUACUUUGUGCUCCCACCAUUCAUGUCACCGAGAAGGAUAUGACACAGCAAGUCUUUAACAUAGUUUUUACUACCCUUUUGCAUUCUUCUUUGAGGUCCUAUUGCAGUACAUGACAUAGGAUGAUGUUUUAUUUUUGUUGUGUGUUUGUUUUGCCUAUCCACAAUGUCAUGUGCACCAUGAAUUGCAGGUGCUCAAAAUCUUCUCUAGGUGAUGUAGUGUGUGUACGCCUCAAUUCAAGCGCAUUUAAUUUCUUCUAGAAAACUGAAGUUUAAGAAUUAUGUAGCACUGAGCAUUCAGCUAGAUACAGGAACAUGUUACAUGUAUGUAGCAGAAUGCUGCCUACAGAAUAGCUAUUAUAAUUUGUUACUAAUUCAGCGCUAUGCCAAAUCAUUUUCUUUAUGAAUUGAAUACAUUUUCAAUUUUCAGAUUGCUACAACAGAAUAUGAGGCGUUGAUGUGUUACACCACGAGAAGUGUGGCUGCACUUCGCUUAGUUCCACGAGUGAACUUAAGGUGAUGAAUCUAUAAUUUUGUAGCACUGCUGUCAGAAGCGGUGCAUAUUGUCUCUGACUCACUAUAAGGUGAUGUUCUUGGCUGUUUAACUAAUAUGGCCAUUACAAUAUCUGUGUACAUGUUACUACAAGAUCUGUGUCCAAAGAUACUUCUGAAACAGUAUUAUAUCAAUGCGCAUAUAUCUCACGAAUAUAGUAUUGCAGAAGGAAGGGGAAAUCAAGUUCACAUUUGGAGACACUAAAUCUCCGGCCGUUCCAAGGGAAGGCCGGAAGGGAGAGCUAACUGCUGACGUCAAUUUACUUCAUUUAGCUGUUGUACGGUUUUUGACCUGCAGCUAGCCCAGAAACCUGUAAAACAUUAAUAUUCUAUAUGCGACUUUAGUCAUCGUUCGGUCAUUAUCGAACUUGGUCUGUGUAUUUCAAUACCGUACUUAACUCCAUAUUUCAGGUUUGUUUGGUGGUGGUUUUCGAGAAA